GUGGGGAAUCUUCCGCAAUGGACGAAAGUCUGACGGAGCGACGCCGCGUGAGUGAUGAAGGCCCUUGGGUCGUAAAGCUCUGUCAUCAGGGACGAACGGUCACGUCAGGAAAUGGGCGUGAAUUGACGGUACCUGAGAAGGAAGCCACGGCUAACUACGUGCCAGCAGCCGCGGUAAUACGUAGGUGGCGAGCGUUGUCCGGAAUUAUUGGGCGUAAAGCGCGCGCAGGUGGGAUCUUAAGUCUGUUCUGAAAGUUCGGAGCUUAACUCCGUGAUGGGAUGGAAACUGGGAUUCUUGAGUAUCGGAGAGGAAAGCGGAAUUCCCCGUGUAGCGGUGAAAUGCGUAGAUAUGGGGAGGAACACCAGUGGCGAAGGCGGCUUUCUGGACGAUGUCUGACACUGAGGCGCGAAAGCCAGGGGAGCGAACGGGAUUAGAUACCCCAGUAGUCC
rnacentral:rRNA from 1 species